AUAUAAUUUUAUUGGCAUUUCGUAUUCACAUCUUUAGUAGUUUUAAGUUCAAUAUGUGAAUGUAUCACACAAUGUUGCAUGGUUGUCAUAAUAUUAACACAUGGAUUCAAGUGGCCACUUAAUACAAUGCUUCGUUUUACAUGCACCUGCACAUUCGCCACUACUCGGGUCUCUCCGUGACCGUGACAACUGGUUAACAUGUCCUGUUGAUAUCAGAUGUUUCUCCUUUAUCGUUUCAGUAUUUGGUGCUUGCGUCGACAUUGAAGGCUUACACGGAAGUUCAAAUGCAUCCUGCACUGCAGAAACCAUAGCAACACCUACUAAGUGUUACGACAUCGCCUACUACAACAGGUGUUGCUCAGUAUGCCGUGUGUUUCACACAAACGUUACUGGUUGCGAGUUCGGGGACCGUGAUCCAGCUUUGUGCCGCACCAUUGACAGAAUGUCGUGCUGUGACCACCGGUCUAACUGCUGUGCUACGUGUCAUGAAGAUACCCAGCCGCUCAUGUGCGGCUAUGGCUCAGGGUCAAGGUCACCGCGUCACGCUUUGAUAGUGGUUGUGUUGUCUCUAGGCAUGUUAAUAUGACGAUCUUCCAUUGCUAAAUGUAAAGACCUUUUGUGUAUAUCCACGGCAGCUUACACAUGUAGUUUGAUUUGUACAUAGAGAUGUGUUGAUAUGAACAUGAGUACGAGGCUGGUGUCUAACUGUACUUUAUAUCAAUAAAACCACGUCUACCUGUA